rnacentral:tRNA from 1 species
UAGCCUAGUGGUUAAGGCUAUGGAUUGCCAAUCCAGAGACGGCGGGUUCGAUUACCGU